GGCCCUCUGCCCAAAAUAAUUGCCCACCCCUGCUCUAGAGCAGUGUUAUGUUACAAAAUUAAUGCAAAAGCUAGGAUUUAAAAUUAAUAAAUUAUGCUGUAUAACCUGAAAUAGAGAUCUCAAUUACAUUUUAGAGUAAGUUAACUGGUUUCAUUUAUUCAUUUUUACUCACUUCCUUAAAUCUUAACUAGCAGGUAAAAUAGUAUUACUAUCAUUAAGGGCAUCAUUAUUUCACAUUUGCUGAA